GGCGGGAAGUUGUCUUAGCAUUGACUUCUAAUCUGUUGCUAGAGAGAGUACGAGCUUUCUCCCGCUU
rnacentral:tRNA from 1 species